rnacentral:rRNA from 1 species
UCCGUAGCCGGUUAGAUAAGUUCCUGGUUAAAUCUGGCAGCUUAACUGUCAGUUCGCUAGGAAUACUAUCUUACUAGAGGGUGGGAAAGGUCUGAGGUACUCCAGGGGUAGCGGUGAAAUGCGAUAAUCCUUGGGGGACCACCAGUGGCGAAGGCGUCAGACUGGAACACGCCUGACGGUGAGGGACGAAAGCCAGGGGAGCGAACG